CCCUUUCCAGGGGAGGCUGCAGGUCCAGAGCUCAGAAGCCAUCCAGAACCCAGUGAGUUCAAGGGACCGCAAGCAGCCACAUCUCAUGAGAACAGAGCCUUUUCCAGAGGCAGCGUGGCAUGGUCCAGGCGGAGAGGACACAGCCAGCUCUGUUCUGGGAGCCUCGCAAUGAGAUGCAGUCAGUCCUCAUGGCUCCCAGCUGAAGCAGGGGGCAGGGAAGCAUGCCGUCACCACCAGGACUGAGGAGGAGGCCAACCCCAGAGACACCUCCCCUGGAAGUAGCCGUUGGGCUCUGGUGAAGACGCCGGGACCAGGACGCAGCGGAGGAAUUAAAAGCCUGGGAUGUGCCGUGCCAGGCCCCGUCACCAAUGUUUUCCCAUGAAUCCCACUCACAGUCCUGAGAAGCAUCUGCCCAUUUCACAGAUGGAAUCUGAGAGCUCGGUGGGAAAGGCCAGGCCAAGGUCCCAGAGCUAACGAGUAGAGAAGCUGGGAUUUGAAUCCAGGCCUGCAGGUCCUGAGAGGAGCCCCAGACACCAGGCCACCAGGAAAGCCAUCUCAGCCCAGCAUCCCUUUCCCAAUUCUGCACAGAUCCAGGGAAGGAAGUGGUCACAGGGCUAGAAGUGGAGAUCCAAGGAUUAACGCAGCUCUGUUUAGUUCCAAGUCCAGGGCUUUUUCUGUUCCCCAUAGCAGAAGAAAGAAAGAAA